AAGUCGUAACAAGGUAACCGUAGGUGAACCUGCGGAAGGAUCAUUAACACGUAUCCACGUUAUCAACCAACUGUGAACUUGUUUUCAACCUCCCUGUCUGAUACAUGAAUUUAAAAGGUUUGAGUUUGAUAUUGAAUGGUUUUAUCAAUUUAUUGAUGAACAUCUUACUCUUACUACUUGCUUUAAUGCGAGUGAUUGUAGUGUCAGUUCAGGUCAUACUUUUCUGCUAUCAACCUUACAUUCAUAAGGUAGAUAGUGGGAAAUACUAUUAACCUAUUUCACCCCCUUUUUGCUAGUUGACUUUUAUAUGUUGUCUUUGGCUACUAUUAAUUUAGUAUGUUAAGGUCACACGUUUAUUAAUUGAACGUUAAAUUUACAACUCUUAGCAAUGGAUAUCUUGGUUCUC
rnacentral:misc_RNA from 1 species